rnacentral:tRNA from 1 species
UGGCCCCGUAGCUCAGCCUGGUUAGAGCACCGGACUCUUAAUCCGGGUGUCGUGGGUUCAACUCCCAUCGGGGUCAU